UUGAGCGAUUUACUUCGGUAAAGAGCGGCGGACGGGUGAGUAACGCGUGGGUAACCUACCCUGUACACCCGGAUAACAUACCGAAAGGUAUGCUAAUACGGGAUAAUAUAUUUGAGAGGCAUCUCUUAAAUAUCAAAGGUGAGCCAGUACAGGAUGGACCCGCGUCUGAUUAGUUAGUUGGUAAGGUAACGGCUUACCAAGGCGACGAUCAGUAGCCGACCUGAGAGGGUGAUCGGCCACAUUGGAACUGAGACACGGUCCAAACUCCUACGGGAGGCAGC
rnacentral:rRNA from 1 species